CUGCAGCCCGACUUGAGCGGAAAUCCUUUUUUGCUUUGACUAAAAGUUCUAUUUAGACUGAAAUCGCGAGCAAAAAAGAUUGGGAGCGGAAGGCGGAUUAAGC
rnacentral:sRNA from 1 species